rnacentral:rRNA from 1 species
GGGGAAUUUUCCGCAAUGGGCGAAAGCCUGACGGAGCAAGACCGCGUGGGGGAAGAAGGCUCUUGGGUUGUAAACCCCUUUUCUCUGGGAAGAACAAAAUGACGGUACCAGAGGAAUCAGCAUCGGCUAACUCCGUGCCAGCAGCCGCGGUAAGACGGAGGAUGCAAGCGUUAUCCGGAAUGAUUGGGCGUAAAGCGUCCGCAGGUGGCAGUUCAAGUCUGCUGUCAAAGACCGGGGCUCAACCUCGGAAAGGCAGUGGAAACUGAACAGCUAGAGUAUGGUAGGGGCAAAGGGAAUUCCUGGUGUAGCGGUGAAAUGCGUAGAGAUCAGGAAGAACAUCGGUGGCGAAGGCGCUUUGCUGGACCAUAACUGACACUCAGGGACGAAAGCUAGGGGAGCGAAUGGGAUUAGAUACCCCAGUAGUCCUAGCCGUAAACGAUGGAUACUAGGUGUUGUCUGUAUCGACCCGGACAGUGCCGUAGCUAACGCGUUAAGUAUCC